AGUGAACGCUGGCGGUAGGCCUAACACAUGCAAGUCGAACGGCAGCACAGUAAGAGCUUGCUCUUACGGGUGGCGAGUGGCGGACGAGUGAGGAAUACAUCGGAAUCUACUUUUUCGUGGGGGAUAACGUAGGGAAACUUACGCUAAUACCGCAUACGACCUACGGGUGAAAGCAGGGGAUCUUCGGACCUUGCGCGAUUGAAUGAGCCGAUGUCGGAUUAGCUAGUUGGCGGGGUAAAGGCCCACCAAGGCGACGAUCCGUAGCUGGUCUGAGAGGAUGAUCAGCCACACUGGAACUGAGACACGAUCCAGACUCCUACGGGAGGCAGCAGUGGGGAAUAUUGGACAAUGGGCGCAAGCCUGAUCCAGCCAUACCGCGUGGGUGAAGAAGGCCUUCGGGUUGUAAAGCCCUUUUGUUGGGAAAGAAAAGCAGCAGGUUAAUACCCCGCUGUUCUGACGGUACCCAAAGAAUAAGCACCGGCUAACUUCGUG
rnacentral:rRNA from 1 species